rnacentral:rRNA from 1 species
AGUGGCGGACGGGUGAGUAACGCGUGAGGAACCUGCCUCAAAGAGGGGGACAACAGUUGGAAACGACUGCUAAUACCGCAUAAGCCCACGGGUCGGCAUCGACCAGAGGGAAAAGGAGCAAUCCGCUUUGAGAUGGCCUCGCGUCCGAUUAGCUAGUUGGUGAGGUAACGGUCCACCAAGGCGACGAUCGGUAGCCGGACUGAGAGGUUGAACGGCCACAUUGGGACUGAGACACGGCCCAGACUCCUACGGGAGGCAGCAGUGGGGAAUAUUGCACAAUGGGGGAAACCCUGAUGCAGCGACGCCGCGUGGAGGAAGAAGGUCUUCGGAUUGUAAACUCCUGUUGUUGGGGAAGAUAAUGACGGUACCCAACAAGGAAGUGACGGCUAACUACGUGCCAGCAGCCGCGGUAAAACGUAGGUCACAAGCGUUGUCCGGAAUUACUGGGUGUAAAGGGAGCGCAGGCGGGAAGACAAGUUGGAAGUGAAAUCUAUGGACUCAACCCAUAAACUGCUUUCAAAACUGUUUUUCUUGAGUAGUGCAGAGGUAGGCGGAAUUCCCGGUGUAGCGGUGGAAUGCGUAGAUAUCGGGAGGAACACCAGUGGCGAAGGCGGCCUACUGGGCAUCAACUGACGCUGAGGCUCGAAAGUGUGGGUAGCAAACAGGAUUAGAUACCCUGGUAGUCCACACCGUAAACGAUGAUUACUAGGUGUUGGAGGAUUGACCCCUUCAGUGCCGCAGUUAACACAAUAAGUAAUCCACCUGGGGAGUACGACCGCAAGGUUGAAACUCAAAGGAAUUGACGGGGGCCCGCACAAGCAGUGGAGUAUGUGGUUUAAUUCGACGCAACGCGAAGAACCUUACCAAGUCUUGACAUCCCUUGACAGGCAUAGAAAUAUGUAUUCUCUUCGGAGCAAGGAGACAGGUGGUGCAUGGUUGUCGUCAGCUCGUGUCGUGAGAUGUUGGGUUAAGUCCCGCAACGAGCGCAACCCUUAUGGUCAGUUACUACGCAAGAGGACUCUGGCCAGACUGCCGUUGACAAAACGGAGGAAGGUGGGGAUGACGUCAAAUCAUCAUGCCCUUUAUGACUUGGGCUACACACGUACUACAAUGGCGUUAAACAAAGAGAAGCAAGACCGCGAGGUGGAGCAAAACUCAGAAACAACGUCCCAGUUCGGACUGCAGGCUGCAACUCGCCUGCACGAAGUCGGAAUUGCUAGUAAUCGUGGAUCAGCAUGCCACGGUGAAUACGUUCCCGGGCCUUGCACACACCGCCCGUCA